UGGUGGAGAACAGCAGCAGCAGCAGCAUCAUGGAGGUCCAAUUCCACCCCAACAACCACACAGAUAGAUCUUCUUCCUCUAAUAAUAAUUAACACAAUUACGGUUGAGGUGAGAGUAAGUAAGAGUUUGGGAGCGAGAGAGACCGUCCGGGUGGCAAAUGUAUGUUCGUAAUAACAGUGAUUCUAUCGGGAAUAUAAAAGAUUACGUUUUUUGAUACCCUCUCGGACAUGCGAGAGAGCAGAGGGAAGGAUACAAGUCGGAAUAGGAGGCAACAAUGUAUACAAAUUAAUGGGCCAAUGUAGCAAAAAUGUAAUUACAAUCCCAUUCAUCGGACGAGAGGACCAUAACCAGACGACGAGGGAGAAAGCACAAGGAAAUAAAGAACCCAAACCACCGCUACCACGAACCGCAUUUAUUUCGACUUUCAUUGGAGAACAAUACGCUACCAGAGAGGAGAGAGAUCCAAUCAAGCUACCGGUCUCGUAAUUGGAGUCACCAUUCCACUCUUAUUGAAUUACGCCACACAGUACAAACGAGAAAUCAAGGAAGGUUUCUCCUCAAAAGAAUGAGACCACCUCAAAUUUUCAGGUUCCCCACAUCAGUUAUUUAUCGGGACUCAUUUUUUUUACUAACAAUGUAAGUAAUACAAACCCAUUUGUAAAAAUUUACUCGAAAUUUUUUGUAUUUACUCAAAAUUUACUCAAAAUGUCAGUUAAUCACAAAAUUUAUUUUAAAAUGUGGCAAUUAAGUUUUAAAAUUUGUAUUCAUCGUCACUAAAACGGUCCGUCCCAGAAGUCCUACCAGGUUUGAAGGACGUAUUACGCCCAUGCUGCUGCUGAUGAUCAAUUAGUCGUCUUUUUGUUGUUCCGGUGUUGAUUACGAUGAAUAACACUUUUACGCAAUAUGUUAUUUUUUCCCUGCGUACGUAAUGCUCCGUCAUUAUUUUCAAUGUCUGGCCUAAAAUUAGCACAAGCAGAGUAAUCCAAGACAACGACAACACAUUGUUGUUGCUCAAUAAUUGCGGUAAUGAUUAUUUAAUUUGUUCCUGAAAUAUAGUCCAGUGGCAGAAAUAAAAUAAAAUAAUCCAA